GACGAACGCUGGCGGCGUGCUUAACACAUGCAAGUCGAACGGAAAGGCUCCAGCUUGCUGGAGUACUCGAGUGGCGAACGGGUGAGUAACACGUGGGUAAUCUGCCCUUCACUCUGGGAUAAGCCUGGGAAACUGGGUCUAAUACUGGAUAUGACCUUUCUCCUUAUGGGGUUUGUUGGAAAGUUUUUCGGUGUAGGAUGAGCCCGCGGCCUAUCAGCUUGUUGGUGGGGUGAUGGCCUACCAAGGCGAUGACGGGUAGCCGGCCUGAGAGGGUGACCGGCUACAUUGGGACUGAGAUACGGCCCAGACUCCUACGGGAGGCAGCAGUGGGGAAUAUUGCACAAUGGGCGGAAGCCUGAUGCAGCGACGCCGCGUGAGGGAUGACGGCCUUCGGGUUGUAAACCUCUUUCAGCAGGGACGAAGCGUAAGUGACGGUACCUGCAGAAGAAGCACCGGCUAACUAUGUG
rnacentral:rRNA from 1 species